CUAACUGCCCGGCACCCCGCGACUGGGUUGGGGUCACUCGUCUCCCUCGCGUUCUCCCGGGAUCUUAUGUUUCUCUGCGUUUCAUUCCGUUCAAAGAAACGUGGGGCACGCGCGGCGGGUGCGGCUGCAGCAGGCGACCCUCCAGCGCACCUUCGAAGGACGUCCCUGCCCUCUGCCUUGCCUCGUAUUGUGGUUCACUAUUUGUCAUUCACCUGAAAGGAGAAGGAAAAGUACGAAAGGUUUCUCUGCUUGGGAAAAGGUGAAUGUUGUUAUAUCAAGAACGAUUACACACAUGGAUCUCAUACAUGUUUUUAGAACAUUGUUCUUCUGAUUGAAGAAGUCUGAUGCUCCUGAAAAAUCUUAAAAUAUCUGACUUGUAUUGAAGAAAAUUAUUUAAUUAAAUUUUUAAAGGCUGGUUGAAAAA
rnacentral:lncRNA from 1 species